CUUUAACUGUCCCCCUCUAGACUCUAAGAUCAUUGUGGGCAGAGAAUGUGCCCAUUUAUUAUUAUUAUUAUUAAUAAUAAUUGUGUUAUUUGUUAAGCACUUACUAUGUGCCAAGCACUGUUCUAAAGGCUGGGGUAGAUACAAGAUCAGUGGGUUGGUCACAGUUCCUGUCCCACGUAGGGCUCACAGUCUUAAUCCCCAUUUUACAGAUGAGGGAACUGAGGCAUGGAGAAGUUAAGUGACUUGCCCAAGGUUACAUGACAGACAAAGGGCAGAGCCAGAAUUAGAACCCACGUCCUCUGACUCCCAGGCCCGUGCUCUUUCCACUAACAGUACAGUGCUCUGCACGCAGUAAGUGUUCAGUAAAUAUGCCUGACCGACUGACUCGCUCUUAAUCUAGGCGUCCUGGGAAAGGCUAAACCCUGGAGCUGCUCAUUCUGCCCCGGUCGCUGGGGCCCCACAGGGACCUAACGUGGACACCUCAACCCUUCAAGGGUUGUUUGCCGGACUGCGGAUCUGUGCCCCGGCCAUGACUGGCAGCUGGCAGCAUCAGUCCACUGGAGUUCAGCGUGAGAUAGUGGGGGGUAGCUGCUCAAUUGAACCCAGCGACUGAGCUGGAAAACAAAUCAAGCCAGCUCGAGCCAGGCAGGACUCGUUGGAUUUGUGGAUGACCUCUGGCUUCAUAGCACGGGUAGCCCGCGCGGGCCCCUAUGAUGAAUGUCACGCCGAUCCCUUCCGAAGACAGGCGCGAGCCAGACCGCCGACCACCAACCACCUCAGAACCACCGCUCCUCCAAAGGGGACCUUCCUCGUCUUCUCUGCUGCCUGCUUAUCCAGUUCUGUCAAGAUAACAUCCAAAGCCUGAAAGGCAGGAGAGAAAUCCCACACUUCAGGGGAAAGAAAUGCAACUCCCACGCAGGGAUCUGGAAAGAAAAAUGGAGACCAGGCCUUGCGCAAACCUCCAUCAAAUAGUGUGUUUGGUAAAACUCUUGGAAGCCCUAACAGUGAAGAAGUUCAGCGUUGGCUUUACUUUUUGUUCCAGUCAAUGAAGUGAGUAAAACCACUCAUUUAAUUCAUUCAUUCAACUGUAUUUAUUGAGUGCUUACUGUGUGCAGAGCACUCUACUGAGCACUUGGAAAGUCAUUUUAACCACCUCCUACCACUCCCCCGCCCCCAACACACACACACACACACACAUGUGAUGUGCUCACGUGAUGCAGAUUCCUUCAGUAAUAAGGUGAGUCUCCGUAGAAUCAGAGAAGCAACAUGGCGGAGUGGAUAGAGCAUGGGUCUGGGAGUCAGAAGAGCCUGGGUUCUAAUGUCGACUUCACCACUUGUCUUGUGUGUGACCUUGUGCAAGUCACUUCACUUCUCUGUGCCUCAGUGACCUCAUCUUUAAA
rnacentral:lncRNA from 1 species